rnacentral:rRNA from 1 species
UACGAAGGGGGCUAGCGUUGUUCGGAAUUACUGGGCGUAAAGCGCGCGCAGGCGGCUAUCCAAGUCAGUGGUGAAAGCCCGGAGCUCAACUCCGGAACUGCCAUUGAAACUGUUUAGCUUGAGGACGAGAGAGGUGAGUGGAAUUCCCAGUGUAGAGGUGAAAUUCGUAGAUAUUGGGGAGGAACACCAGAGGCGAAGGCGGCCACCUGGACAGACACUGACGCUGAGACGCGAAAAGCGUGGGGGGGAGCAAACAG